rnacentral:lncRNA from 1 species
AGUCCUUCUAGAGAUUGUGGGGGAACAACAGUGCCUUCUCUCUUUCCUCACUCAGGUCUUGUUAGUCCUUUGGAGACUUAGAAAAGCUGAGGAAGAACCACCUAGUUCACCCUAUCCCCCAGGUAAUAGAACCUGACUUUAUUCACAUCUGGGUAAAAGAAGUCAAGCUUGGUAUGGGAGAAGAAGCGGAAUAUAGGUAUUGUAAAUAGACAUCUGACUAUUAGGCCCAGACUCUGACGCUCAGAGUGGGCAAAACCAGGAGCUGUCACGGAAUGGGCUCUGCGUUGGGGCCCAGUUUCAAGAAGGCCUCAGAACAACUUUGGAAGAUGAAUUGAUCCUGUUGCAUGAGCCUGGAAGCCUUGUUAAGUCACUUGACCUCCAGUCA